rnacentral:lncRNA from 1 species
CGUGAUUCGAUUGUAUCAUUGCAGUAUCGUUGCGAUGGAUACCUGGGGUAGUUUAGAAGGCAUUUACGCUCGUGCUGAGAUGCCGAGCUUAUUUUUCAGCAGAGUUUAGGCUGUUUCGAAUCGUUGGGUGCCGUUUGGGUUAGCGGUGGACCCAGAUUCUUGUUUUGGUCACAGAUUGUGCCGAGGGCACGUGGGUUUGGUUGUAGACCUGUUUUGACCCUGUUCCCUUGAC